CUUGAAUGAUGAGCCUAACAAUAGACAGACAGAUCCACUGUGCUGAUUAUCGUGUUCUGACCUG